AUAGUUUGCAUAGCUUUUCAUUUUAAAUUUAUUUAUAAUACUAUUUUUGUUCUUACCCUUCUAGUGUUUGAUUCUAACGGGGUGAAAAAUCUCCCAAGUCGAAGGCUAGGGAGACAGAGAGAGAGAGAGAGAGGGAGAAGGGGGGGAGAAAGAGUUGGUUGAGGCAUGGGCGUGGUGGGUUUGGUUGGUUCUAGGGUUUCUAUUUAUCUGUUUGGUCGUGUCAUGAUUUGAUUCGAGUGGAGCUCCUUGAAGUCCAAUAGAGGUUCUUGCAGGGUUGAUAGGGCUGCUGAGCUAUGGAUCCCACAGUUCUAUCACAUGACGAAAGAGUUUGAUAGGCUUGUGGCUUGCAUAUCUCUGGAGCCCUCAUCACCCGGUAUGUUAGAUUCUUGUUUGGAUUGAAGGGAGCUCUACCCUUCUCACACCCUUAUCUGUGAGUGCUAUUACUCUGAACUUGCUUUUGUAGGUAGUGGAUUUUCCUUGUUUUUCAUAUGAAUUUUUGUGAUUUUAAAAAAAAAAAAAAAAAAAAAAAAAAAAAAAAAA
rnacentral:miRNA from 1 species